rnacentral:lncRNA from 1 species
CUCUGCGUUACGAUCCAAACCAAUAUGAAUUGGAAUGAACAUGUUAAUAAAAUUGUUAAGAAAUCUGGGAAAAGAUUGUAUAUGCUUAGGUUAUUGAAACGAGCCAACGCUGACACAAGAAUGUUAUCCACCGCAUUUACCACUAUUAUAAGGCCAGUCUUAGUAUACGCUUGCCAAGUUUGGCAUUUCAACAUAUUCCAGGUUAUUUGAGUGAUAAUAUUGA